GCGGCUGGUGCGGCUGCGGCAUCGGCGGCACGUCAUCGAAACGAAACUUGUGCGGCUGGCAGUUGGUGCAACAGUGGACAGUGCGGCGAAGAUGAAUCGCUCAGCCUAGAACAGGAAUCAUCACAUCGACGGGUGCUUCGUUUUGACGUUGGUCUUGCUCUGCACGGAUCGUGUCUAUUUUCUUAGUCUACGUUCAGCAUCGUUUACAAGGCUCGGCAAGGCUGGCGUGGGUUCCGCAGUGCUAUGGCAGCAACGGGAACCAGCGUCGUGCUGAGGAGUUACGGAAGCAAUUUCUCUUGAGGCUUGCAUCACCGGCCGCGCGGUCGAUUGCACCCGCACAACCCGGCUGCGGCUCGCCUCCAGCUUCCGACCCCAUCGCUCCUGCUCAGUUGUGACAACCCUGUUUUGGUGCGCGACUUCAACGACUGUCAUGGUGAA